GGCUCGGUAACUUAGUUGGUAUAGUGCUCGUCUAGCAUAAAAAAGUCCUGGGUUCGAAUCCCAGGUGACCA
rnacentral:tRNA from 1 species